rnacentral:lncRNA from 1 species
CCCAGUCCUUUCAUCAGCUCCGAGUAGAAAGAGCUCAGACCUCCAAUGCUUAUUCCAACCCAGAAAGCAUACAUUAGGAAGGAAGAGAGUUCACCCACGGUCAUGUGGGCACUGCCCAUCAGCAGCCCUCCUUUGUACAGGACAGAAAGCACGAUCAGGUUUCCGGAGAGCCCAGUUGCUCCAAAGAAACCAGCCCGGGCGAAUGCCUCUUUCCUUGCUAACUGCAUUACAUGGUCCACUUUGCUGGCAUAUUUCUCGAUUUCAGUCAUUUCUUU